AUUGAACGCUGGCGGCAUGCCUUACACAUGCAAGUCGAACGGCAGCACGGGAGCAAUCCUGGUGGCGAGUGGCGAACGGGUGAGUAAUAUAUCGGAACGUGCCCGGUCGUGGGGAUAACGUAGCGAAAGCUACGCUAAUACCGCAUACGAUCUACGGAUGAAAGCGGGGGAUCGCAAGACCUCGCGCGAUUGGAGCGGCCGAUAUCAGAUUAGGUAGUUGGUGAGGUAAAGGCUCACCAAGCCGACGAUCUGUAGCUGGUCUGAGAGGACGACCAGCCACACUGGGACUGAGACACGGCCCAGACUCCUACGGGAGCAGCAGUGGGAAUUUUGGACAAUGGGCGCAAGCCUGAUCCAGCAAUGCCGCGUGGCAGGAUGAAGGCCUUCGGGUUAGGUAAC
rnacentral:rRNA from 1 species